rnacentral:rRNA from 1 species
UACGUAGGGGGCAAGCGUUGUCCGGAAUCAUUGGGCGUAAAGAGCGUGUAGGCGGCCCGAUAAGUCCGCUGUGAAAGUCCAGGGCUCAACCCUUGAAAGCCGGUUGAUACUGUCGGGCUAGAGUCCGGAAGAGGCGAGUGGAAUUCCCGGUGUAGCGGUGAAAUGCGCAGAUAUCGGGAGGAACACCAAUGGCGAAGGCAGCUCGCUGGGACGGUACUGACGCUGAGACGCGAAAGCGUGGGGAGCAAACAGG